UCCCAGGUGGCUCAAUGGUAAAGAAUCUGCCUGUGAAGCAGGAGACACAAGUUCAAUUCUUGGGUAGGGAA
rnacentral:tRNA from 1 species